AUUGCCCUUCACUUUGACAAAGCAAAAACUAUCAGAUCUUUGCAGUUCUAAGGCAAGGUGUUGAUUCAAUGUGUCUCUUGUGUUCUUCACCCAAGGAACCAAAGGAAAGGGCCGAACAGAUGGCAGGCCUCUGGCUUCAAAUUGUGAUUUAUGUAGACAGCAUAGGGUGGAUCGUUGCCUGGGAAUCUAGCUGCUUUCGAGCAUAAUCAAAGGAGUUAUGAUGACAGGAUGUGAUGCAGAACCAGGCAAAGGGCUUGCACUGAGGUGAUUAAUCAAUGCUGACAUCUGGAUGGAAAUGAGCAAAGUCAGAGGGCAUCAUCACAGCGUUAACAAUUAGCUAGCGGAGAGCAGCUAUUUAUUGUCAAACUGGCAGAAAGUAUUGCGUGAGGUGCUAAGUCAUGCCACAGUGUUCAUCUGGUAAGUAUGUCUUCCUCAUAGUUCUGAGAAUCCGGGCUCAAAUCUGGCCUCGCCUGUGUGGAGUUUACUUUUUGGCAUCAUGGUUUAGCUACUUAUGAUGGGGCAAACCUCCAGGGAAGAAAAGCGACGGUGACUUGUGAGAGGGCUGGGGGGAUCCAUAUCAUACGGCGCUGUUGUCUGGUGAACCAAGAUGCCAACACUCCUGGGGCGGCAGAGUUAGAUCCUUAUCCAGAGCCAACUAAAAUGUUCCACAAACUCAUGAGCGAGGCAAUUAACAGGAGCCCCUGUGGAUAGACUGUUCCUCUCACACUGCUUACCUUCACCUUCCUCCAUUCUUUGCUUCUUCAUUACUUGUUCUCCUGACCACUUAAAAUUCAGUCAGCAAAAAUUAGUGGCAAACCUUUUAGCAAAAAUAUAUCUGUGAAUUUGUAUUAACCAGAAUAAAGAAUAUGUAUCUGCAUGAAAACGUCACACCCUGAAAAUUGCUAAAUGCUAAAAAUUGUGUUCGUAGCGAUACUGCUCUUAAAUGAUGAGAGACGUAUACUGAGCUGGUUGACAAAUAUUUCAGCUCUUUGAAAUAGGCUAUGGUCUAAUGAGAAUAGAAAAUGAAUGAAAGAAUAUUGUACUCUUUUUAAUACUCAAAUAUUCCUGCUGGAUGAUCAAAUACAUGAUAAAACCCACAUUUUCAGAACACUAAUCUUAAUAAAUAUCCCUAGUUCUACUUUAAAAUAGAUAUUGCCUCAUGUACCCUAUACAAUAAGGUAAAGUACGCCUCUUGCUAGCUGUUGUAUGUAAACAAAUGAACAAGCACAUUGUGUGCAUGCAAAUAUGGAUUGUUUACAGAUUGUAAUAAAGGUAGCAAAUGUUAUUUACAAAAUGUGUGAAUGUAAUGCACAUGAUUGUACUCUAUAUCAUCCCACAUGCUAUUUCGCUAAAGUAUAUUUUAGUCCAGACAUGACUUUUUGGUACAGAUACUGUUAUAGUUUUUUGUGUUGUAAGCGUUUAUAGAUCAGUACCAUUUGGCUGAGGACCACUCUUCAAGCAAUGGAUGUACUGUACA